UCCGCAGGGGGCAUGCUAAGUCUGAUGUGAAAUCUCACGGCUCAACCGUGAAACUGCAUUGGAUACUGGCAAGCUAGAGUAUCGGAGAGGAAAGUGGAAUUCCAGGUGUAGCGGUGGAAUGCGUAGAUAUCUGGAAGAACACCAACAGCGAAGGCAGCUUUCUGGACGAUUACUGACCCUCAGGGACGAAAGCGUGGGUAGCAAACAGGAUUAGAUACCCUGGUAGUCC
rnacentral:rRNA from 1 species